rnacentral:ncRNA from 1 species
GACCCCUUGCAGAUGACAAGGUAGAUAGGCCAGAUGUGGAAGUGGAGUAAUCCAUGCAGCUGACUGGUACUAAUAGGCCGAGGACUUGACUUA